rnacentral:rRNA from 1 species
UACGGAGGGAGCUAGCGUUGUUCGGAAUUACUGGGCGUAAAGAGCUCGUAGGUGGUUUGUCGCGUUGUCCGUGAAAACUCACAGCUUAACUGUGGGCGUGCGGGCGAUACGGGCAGACUGGAGUACUGCAGGGGAGACUGGAAUUCCUGGUGUAGCGGUGGAAUGCGCAGAUAUCAGGAGGAACACCGGUGGCGAAGGCGGUUCUCUGGGCAUGUCCUGACGCUGAGGAGCGAAAGUGUGGGGAGGCGAAACAGG